rnacentral:rRNA from 1 species
AGUCAGUUCAGGCAGACCCGAAACCGGGUGAUCUACCCAUGUCCAGGUUGAAGUUUCCGUAAAAGGAAAUGGAGGACCGAACGCACAUCCGUUGAAAAGGGUGGCGAUGAGGUGUGGGUAGGGGAGAAAUUCCAAUCGAACCCGGAGAUAGCUGGUUCUCCUCGAAAUAGCUUUAGGGCUAGCCUCGUAUUAGUUUAGCGGAGGUAGAGCACUGAAUUCUUAAGGGGGCGUCAAAGCUUACCAAGAGAUAUCAAACUCCGAAUGCCGCAUAAAUGAUGUACGGGAGUCAGACUGCACGAGAUAAGUUGGGUAGUCAAAAGGGAAAGAGCCCAGACCUACAGCUAAGGUCCCAAAGUGUGUGUUAAGUGGAAAAGGAUGUGGGAUUUCAAAGACAACUAGGAUGUUGGCUCAGAAGCAGCCACACAUUCAAAGAGUGCGUAAUAGCUCACUAGUCGAGAGGUCCUGCGCCGAAAAUGUCCGGGGCUGAAACACAACACCGAAGCUUAGGAAUUGACGNAAGUCAAUUGGUAGAGGAGCAUUCUUAACUGCGAAGAAGCGUUACCGUAAGGAGGCGUGGAGUGUUAAGAAGAGAGAAUGCCGGAAUGAGUAGCGAGAUGGAGGUGGGAAUCCUCCAGGCCGAAUAUCUAAGGUUUCCAGAGUAAAGCUGAUCUGCUCUGGGUAAGUCGGGGCCUAAGGCGAGGUCGAAAGACGUAGUCGAUGGACAACAGGUUGAAAUUCCUGUACCGCGUAUUAUCAGAACUGUGGGGACACAGAACCGAAGCCAAACCCGGGAAUGAAAAGACCGGGGCAAGCGCCGGACUGGUUAGACUGGAAAAUCCGUUUAACAACAGGAAAGCGUGAUGCGUACCGAACAAAAGUAGGGAAGUUGGUAUAGGGGCUGUCAAGAAAAGCCGCUAUUGUGUAAUACGUGCCCGUACCGUAAACCGACACAGGUGGAUGAGGAGAGAAUCCUAAGGCCGGCGGGAGAAGCAUUGUUAAGGAACUCGGCAAAAUGACCCUGUAACUUCGGGAUAAAGGGUGCCCACGAGAGUGGGCCGCAGAGAAUAGGCUCAAGCAACUGUUUAGCAAAAACACAGGUCUAUGCAAAACCGAAAGGUGAGGUAUAUGGGCUGACGCCUGCCCGGUGCUGGAAGGUUAAGAGGAGAGGUUAGAGCAAUCGAAGCUUUGAAUUUAAGCCCCAGUAAACGGCGGCCGUAACUAUAACGGUCCUAAGGUAGCGAAAUUCCUUGUCGGGUAAGUUCCGACCCGCACGAAAGGCGUAAUGAUUUGAGCGCUGUCUCGACAAUGCACCCGGUGAAAUUGAAGUACCAGUGAAGAUGCUGGUUACCUGCGCCAGGACGGAAAGACCCCAUGGAGCUUUACUCCAGCUUGAUACUGGGAUUCGGUGUCGCAUGUACAGGAUAGGUGGGAGGCAAUGAAGGCAGGACGCCAGUCUUGCCGGAGCCAUUGUUGGGAUACCACCCUUGCGAUAUUGGGUUUCUAACCUGCGGCCAUGACCUGGCCGGGGGACAAUGUCAGGUGGGGAGUUUGACUGGGGCGGUCGCCUCCGAAAGAGUAUCGGAGGCGCUCAAAGGUUCCCUCAGAAUGGACGGAAACCAUUCGAAGAGUGCAAAGGCAUAAGGGAGCUUGACUGCGAGACUGACGGGUCGAGCAGGUACGAAAGUAGGACUUAGUGAUCCGGUGGUAUAAAGUGGGAUUGCCAUCGCUCAACGGAUAAAAGCUACCCUGGGGAUAACAGGCUUAUCACUCCCAAGAGUUCACAUCGACGGAGUGGUUUGGCACCUCGAUGUCGGCUCAUCGCAUCCUGGGGCUGAAGUAGGUCCCAAGGGUUGGGCUGUUCGCCCAUUAAAGCGGUACGCGAGCUGGGUUCAGAACGUCGUGAGACAGUUCGGUCCCUAUCCGGCGUGGGCGUAGGAUAUUUGAGAGGAGCUGUCCUUAGUACGAGAGGACCGGGAUGGACUGACCUCUGGUGUACCGGUUGGGUAUCAAACCCAUGGCCGGGUAGCCAAGUCGGGAAGGGAUAAACGCUGAAGGCAUCUAAGCGUGAAGCCCCCCUCAAGAUGAGAUAUCCCAUCGCAAGAGUAAGACCCCUUGA